rnacentral:pre_miRNA from 1 species
CUAGUACUCCCUCCGUUCCGAAUUACUUGUCUUAGAUUUGUCUAGAUACGGAGGUAUCUAGCACUAAAAUGAGUCUAGAUACAUCCGUAUCUAGACAAAUCCAAGACAAGUAAUUCGGAACGUAGGGAGUACAUG